rnacentral:rRNA from 1 species
CUCUGUGACUCCUACGGGAGGCAGCAGUGGGGAAUAUUGCACAAUGGGCGCAAGCCUGAUGCAGCCAUGCCGCGUGUAUGAAGAAGGCCUUCGGGUUGUAAAGUACUUUCAGCAGUGAGGAAGGCGGAGUCGUUAAUAGCGGCCUCGUUUGACGUUUAGCUGCAGAAGAAGCACCGGCUAACUCCGUGCCAGCAGCCGCGGUAAUACGGAGGGUGCGAGCGUUAAUCGGAAUUACUGGGCGUAAAGCGCAUGCAGGUGGUUUGUUAAGUCAGAUGUGAAAGCCCGGGGCUCAACCUCGGAAUUGCAUUUGAAACUGGCAGACUAGAGUACUGUAGAGGGGGUAGAAUUUCAGGUGUAGCGGUGAAAUGCGUAGAGAUCUGAAGGAAUACCGGUGGCGAAGGCGGCCCCCUGGACAGAUACUGACACUCAGAUGCGAAAGCGUGGGGAGCAAACAGGAUUAGAUACCCUGGUAG